UACGUAGGGGGCUAGCGUUGUCCGGAAUCAUUGGGCGUAAAGCGCGUGUAGGCGGCCCGGUAAGUCCGCUGUGAAAGUCGGGGGCUCAACCCUCGAAUGCCGGUGGAUACUGCCGGGCUCGAGUCCGGAAGAGGAGUGUGGAAUUCCGUGGUGUAGCGGUGAAAUGCGCAGAUAUCAGGAGGAACACCAAUGGCGAAGGCAGCACUCUGGGACGUGACUGACGCUGAGACGCGAAAGCGUGGGG
rnacentral:rRNA from 1 species